CACUAGUGCCUACCAAGGCUGCCAAGGAAGGAUGCCUGGUUUGUGACUGCCUACAUGCUACAGUGGAUUCAUCUCCCAGUGCUCAGUGUUAUAGUUAAGAAGACUGUGAUCCUGAAGUAAGACUGUGCCUGGGGAGUUUUACUGACUCAGUGACAGCGGGUUAACAGAUACAAUCACAGAAUUAUAGAAUACCCUGAGUUGGAGGGGACCCACAAGCAUCACAGAACGGAGGGCUGUCUGCCUCUGGAAUAUGCCAAACUAGCUGCAUCUGAUCAGGCUGAUUGAGGGCUGGGUACACAUAAGGUCAUCCACCAGCAGAGCCCAGCAUGGAUACCUGGAGCCAGGAGCAGGCAAGGAAAAUGAUAAUAAAAUGAAGAAUAACUCUUCUAUUUGGUUUGCAAGAGAUCCACUCAGCACCAUUAGCUACGUCUUCUGACAAACUAACAAAGAGCAAACCAACCCUUUCUGCCCUGCUGGGCCAGGAGGUGAAGCUUCCAGGAGAGCCUUGAGAGAUGCUGCUAAUGAAGACAAAUGAAGGAAAAGGAACUUGACCCCAGAGUAUGAAAUUUUGCUCAUUAAGAAGUGCUUCCAAUUGGCUGAUUGAUAUUAUUUUGAUGUAGAUGGGGUAAUUAAUGACAAAAAGUAAUGCAGCAGGAUAUGAGUUGUGCAGAAUGCACUUCAGUCAAUCUACCUUUUAUUAUGCCUUGGUUUAUUUAUGCACGCUAUAUUUGUUAUGCUACUGCCUGAUGCGGUUCCCACCUUCAUUUGGAAUUUCCUUCACUUGUUUUCUUCAUUCUUUAUGCUAUUCUGGGAUUUCUUUCUUUCUUUUUUUUUUUUUUACUUUUCUGCAUGUAAUUUCCUAAUCUGUUUUUAGUAAUAACAAGGAUGCACUUUCAUGGCCACAAGGAACAUUUCUGCAUGUGAAACAUUUCUUACAAUAGAAAUAGCCAUUGAAACAAACUACACUUCCUUCCUACUUCAUUGCACAGGCUAUGGGUAUUGCCAGUAAAUUAACUGCUAGGAAUCUCCCCUGUACACUCACAUGAUUACUCUGUCCCAGAAGGAAAUGAGGAAAAUCUGAAAUUCUUUACAUUUUUUUUGGCUGGGUGGGUGGAGGAAAGAAAUGCCAGAACUUUUGUAAUGACACAUCCUCCUGGAAGGAAGCGGUCCUGUGGUUUUAAGCCAAAGGAUUUAAAACCAGUAAAAUACCACUGUACUUUUGAUUUAGCUUCUUGAUGUGUGAAUAAUGCAUGCCACCAAAGAAAAAGACAGGCUAAAAAUACUGAGUGAUGUGAAAUGACCCUUGGACUGAUCCUAUAAAUGUUUAUGCAUGUGAAUAAUUUUACACAAGCUUACUAAGGUGAUAAGAGAAUAUGUUCAUGAAAAGUUACUGACCUGAAUGUUUGUCUGGAGGAUCAGACUGUUGCUAUGGAUAUUUUUAUCCAGAUCUCCCAAAGAAAACUUGUGUAAUCAUGUUUGGUGUGAUUCCCUCUCCACUUCCCUUUUGUCUUUCCCAAAACCUUUGAAUCUUUUGACAUAAACCUGGUACUUACUCUUGAGGUCGUACAAAGGA